rnacentral:misc_RNA from 1 species
AGCAGCCGCGGUAAUUCCAGCUCCAAUAGCGUAUAUUAAAGUUGUUGCAGUUAAAAGCUCGUAGUUGAAUUUCGGGGUUAGUAGGUUGGUCAUGCCUCUGGUAUGUACUGGUCUCACUGAUUCUUCCUUCCUGAUGAACCUUAAUGCCAUUUAUUUGGUGUUUUGGGGAAUUUGGACUGUUACUUUGAAAAAUUAGAGUGUUUAAAGCAAGCUAACGCUUGAAUACAUUAGCAUGGAAUAAUGAAAUAGGACGUUCGAUCCUAUUUUGUUGGUUUCUAGGAUUGACGUAAUGAUUAAUAGGGAUAGUUGGGGGCAUUAGUAUUCAAUUGUCAGAGGUGAAAUUCUUGGAUUUAUUGAAGACUAACUACUGCGAAAGCAUUUGCCAAGGAUGUUUUCAUUAAUCAAGAACGAAAGUUAGGGAUCGAAGACGAUCAGAUACCGUCGUAGUCUUAACCAUAAACUAUAGCCGACUAGGGAUCGGAUGAUGUUAAUUUUUAAUGUACUCAUUCGGCGCCUUACG